rnacentral:lncRNA from 1 species
UGAAUGGUGGUGAUGGAUGGUGGAGAUGGAGGAUGGAGAUGGAGGGUGGAUGAAGGGUGGAGAUGGAAGGUGGUGAUGGAGGGUGGUGAUAGACGGUGGAGAUGGAGGGUGGAGAUGGUGGGUGGUGAUGGAGGGUGGGGAUAAAUGGUGGUAAUGGACAGUAGAGAUGGACGGUGGAAAUGGAGGAUGGUGAUGGUUGUACAACAAUGUGAAUGCACUUGAUGUCACUCAACUGUUCACUUAAAAAUGGCAAACAUAGUAGUUUUUAUGUUACAUAUAUUUUACUACAAUAAAAAAAGAAUGAAAAGCCUAUAAAAUUCUGAAAAAUAAAAAAGGGGGCUUUAGCCCUGCCAGAGAGUAGAAUCCAUCAUAGAACAUCUUGCUAUGGGCAGUUGACUGGACACACACAUCAGAGCAGGUCUGUGUGAUCAUUUAGCAUAUGAUUAAUGGGGCAUUUAAAAUCCACGAGGGGCCGGGCGCAGUGGCUCACGCCCGUAAUCCCAGCACUUUGGGAGGCCGAGGCGGGUGGAUCACCUGAGGUCAGCAGUUCGAGACCAGCCUAACUAACAUGGGGAAACCCUGUCUCUACUAAAAAUACAAAAAAUAGCUGGGCAUGGUGGUGGGUGGCUGUAAUCCCAGCUACUGAGGUGGCUGAGGUGGGAGAAUCACUUGAACCUGGAAGCGGAGGUUGCAGUGAGCCAAGAUCGUGCCACUUCUCUCCAGCCUGAGCAACAAAGCGAGACUCUGUCUCAAAAAAUAAAUUAAUUAAUAAAUAAAUAAAUCCAUGAGGGAAAGGAUGUCAUUUAAAAAAGGGUGUGGCCAGGCACGGUGGCUCAUGCCUAUAACCAGCACUUUGGAGGCCGAGGCAGGUGGAUCACCUGAGGUCAGGAGUUUGAGACUGGCCUGGCCAGCAUGGUGAAACUCUGUCUCUACUAAAAAAAAAGGACAAAAUUAGCUGGAUGUGGUGGCGCAUGCCUGUAAUCCCAGCUACUUGGGAGGCUGAGGCAGGAGAAUCGCUUGAACCUGGGAGGCAGAGAUUGCAGUGAGCCUAGAUUACG